AGUGGUAAAGCUCAGUGGUAGAGCGUGUGCUUAGCAUGCGCAAGGUCCUGGAUUCAAUCCCCAGUCCCUCCA
rnacentral:tRNA from 1 species